rnacentral:rRNA from 1 species
UUGGAAGAAGUUGAUCCUGGCUCAGGACGAACGCUGGGGGGGUGCCUAAUACAUGCAAGUCGAGCGGACAGAUGGGAGCUUGCUCCCUGAUGUUAGCGGCGGACGGGUGAGUAACACGUGGGUAACCUGCCUGUAAGACUGGGAUAACUCCGGGAAACCGGGGCUAAUACCGGAUGCUUGUUUGAACCGCAUGGUUCAAACAUAAAAGGUGGCUUCGGCUACCACUUACAGAUGGACCCGCGGCGCAUUAGCUAGUUGGUGAGGUAACGGCUCACCAAGGCAACGAUGCGUAGCCGACCUGAGAGGGUGAUCGGCCACACUGGGACUGAGACACGGCCCAGACUCCUACGGGAGGCAGCAGUAGGGAAUCUUCCGCAAUGGACGAAAGUCUGACGGAGCAACGCCGCGUGAGUGAUGAAGGUUUUCGGAUCGUAAAGCUCUGUUGUUAGGGAAGAACAAGUACCGUUCGAAUAGGGCGGUACCUUGACGGUACCAACCAGAAAGCC